UACGGAGGGUGCAAGCGUUAAUCGGAAUUACUGGACGUAAAGCGUGCGCAGGCGGUUUGUUAAGUCUGCUGUGAAAUCCCCGAGCUCAACUUGGGAAUUGCAGUGGAUACUGGCAGGCUGGAGUAUGGUAGAGGAAGGUGGAAUUCCCGGUGUAGCAGUGAAAUGCGUAGAGAUCGGGAGGAACACCAGUGGCGAAGGCGGCCUUCUGGACCAAUACUGACGCUCAUGCACGAAAGCGUGGGGAGCAAACGGG
rnacentral:rRNA from 1 species